rnacentral:rRNA from 1 species
GACGAACGCUGGCGGCGUGCUUAACACAUGCAAGUCGAACGGGUCUGCCCUGUUUUUUGCGGGGUGGGUCAGUGGCGAACGGGUGAGUAACACGUGAGUAACCUGCCCCUCACUUCUGGAUAACCGCUUGAAAGGGUGGCUAAUACGGGGUGUUCUGGCUGUGCCGCAUGGUGUGGCUGGGAAAGAUUCACUUUUGUGGUGUUUUGGUGGGGGAUGGGCUCGCGGCCUAUCAGCUUGUUGGUGGGGUGAUGGCCUGCCAAGGCUUUGACGGGUAGCCGGCCUGAGAGGGUGGGCGGUCACACGGGGGCUGAGAGACGGCCCAGACUCCUGCGGGAGGCAGCAGUGGGGGGUAUUGCACAAUGGGCGGAAGCCUGAUGCAGCGACGUCGCGUGAGGGAUGGAGGCCUUCGGGUUGUGAACCUCUUUCGCCGGUGAAGAAGGUCCUGCUCUUUGGGGUGGGGUUGACGGUAGCCGGGUUAUGAAGCGCCGGCUAACUACGUG